rnacentral:tRNA from 1 species
GCCCCCGUAGCUCAACUGGAUAGAGUACGACAUUCCUAAUGUCGGAGUUGCGCGUUCGAGUCGCGCCGGGGGUACCA